rnacentral:lncRNA from 1 species
CAAGGAGAAAAGAUUGAUAUAGGUAAAGAAGUAUCUGAUGUCAAGAAAACUGGUUGCUGUUCAACCUAGAGGUAAUCUGUGCUGCUGUGUCCGGUUCUAGGUAAACUGAUAGUGUAAAAUUUUCAAGACUACCUUCGGUGCGGUUAUGUUUCGAUCACAAGAGCUGCCUUUUUAUUGGUUUCAUUUGGUUGGUACUAAGGAAUGUCAAUGUUAGAGAACCUUGUCUAGUGGAACACUUGUGUAGACCUGUUAUGGCUUUAACUUACUGAAUCAUUUUUUUCUGUCUUUUUCAAUUACUUAAAUUCUAGAUAUCUUGUAUUUGCUAUGCUCUUGGUACUCAGAGUACUUGUGAUGAAGAGCAGUUUUAAAACUAGGGGUGGAUUUUGUAGGAGAUGGGCAUAUGGUAACUAUCUUGACUAUUUUAAUAGUACUUAUUUCAUAACAAAUUUACAGAUACGUAUUAUACAUGGAUCUUGAGCUGAGGAUCUAUCGGAAACCUCUCUACCUCCUCGAAGUAGAGGUAAGGUCUGCGUACACACUACCCUCUUCAGACCCCACUUGUGGGAUUUUACUGAGUCGUUGUCGUUGUUGUAGUAUUAUACACUGAUCAUUAUUUUCUUAAUUAUGGGUAUACUUUCAAAAUUUAACUAACUUACAUGCCAAAUACUUCUAUUAUUUGGGGUAGAAUUCACUUUACCCUUUGGAUGAGUAACAUCAUAAUCUUUCAACCUUGUAAAGGCAAACGUUCUUAACAAAAUAUCUUUCUUUGAUUCAUGGAUUCCUUUUGGUGAGUCAAAUGCAGGUAUGCCAAUUGAUUUAUAGCUUGUUUGGCCAAGCCGGAGAAAUCAACUUAUUUUGAGAAGUGCUUUUGAAAAAAGUACUUUUGGAG